UGCUGGUAUAGUUAGUUCAUUAGACUUAUGUAGGUUAUAUUUGUAUUUUAACAGGACCAGAAUAUCUUCAUAUUAUAUUAAUCUGGUGAUGUUUCCAAACAGGAGAUAGACCUUUGUACCAUAUACAUGGUAAGAUCAGUGGGUUCAUUCUCAUUUAUCCAACUUUUUAAAAAUAUAGGUAGUACAGGUAAAAAAAAAGUUGGAUAGAUGAGAUCAAAGGUAAUCAAGAACAAAGGGUUUUCCAAUUAGAGUUUGGUUGAAUGACAGGUGAAAAAUAAGACUGAAAAUUAUACCAGGAUUAAAUUUUCUGUAGUAUUAUUUAGCAUAGCAUGUUAAAAUGUGCAACUGACAUUUAGUUAAUGUAAUGUAAAUCAUUUGAAAGUAUUUUAAGAGUUAUUUAACCGUUAACUAAAAUGUGAAUUGGAUAGAAAAAUAUCAGUUGCACUUUUAUUCAUGAAGGAAUUUGUCAAUGAGAUGGAGCUUUUUUUGUGUAUUAGAUCCUCUUCGUUCAUUUUUUUCGGUUCUUCUGUCCAAAUGAUCCAAAUAGGACAAAAUAUAAGUUGAAUACGUUUUACUACACAAAGACUGAACAGAACAAAGUUCACAAAACAUAUAUGCAUCAUAUAUCAUAUAUAUAUAAAAAAAAAGCAAAAGCAAUUCUCUGAUAAGUGUGACAGGAAUAGCUUGGCUUUGAUAUCAGCAUGUGAUGGUGGAUGGUUGUGGUCUCUUGGAAAUCUGGUAACUAGAUUAUCUGUGGUGUUGACAGUGCCAGGGCAGUCCAUUUCUGUACAUUUCCAGUAUACAAGUUCUCCAUCUCUUCCCUGUUUUCUGGUCUUAACACAAUAGCUGUAGCCUGCAACUGCUAGGUAGUGACCUCUGGCAUGAGGAAUUAGUUGUACUCUUACUUGUGCGUUUGCCAUUUGUGCAAUAAUAAAAUUUCGGAUUAAAUGGCUAUAUAUAUACUAACCAUGAGCUUAACUAAGAAAUAUUCUUUAUAAGAAUAGAGUUCAUUCAUUCAUUCAUUCAUUCAUUCAUUCAUGUUUUGGAAAGAUUGCUGAGUACUGUUACAUAGUUUUAAUUUUUAACACUUGAAGAUAUGGGAUUAGGUUGUGAAAAAUGUUUAGAUUUUUGCAUUGAUGAGCAAAUAUGCUGAACACGAACAAUGAUUAAUUUGGUAAUCACUUUGAAUCAGCACCACAAAUAAAAGUUAACAGGUCUAAAAAAAAGUAAAACACAUCAUAUUUACUCAAUAAAUUGUUAAUAUAAAAUUAUUAUUGAUUUGUGGGUUUCUUCUGUAUAAAAGAUGAAACAUUUAUUUAUUAUUCAAAGUAUACUGAAUUUUAUAUGAAAUAUACUAAAUUUUAUUCAAAAUAUACUAAAUUUUAUUCAAAAUAUACUAAAUUUUAUUCAAAAUAUACUAAAUUUUAUUCAAAAUAUACUAAAUUGUAUUCUAAAAUAAAAUGUAACAAGUUUACUAUAGCCUCUUUUAUGUAUAUAUUUUUAAAACAAUAUACUAAAUUUUAUUCAAAAUAUACUAAAUUUUAUUCUAAAAUAAAAUGUAACAAGUUUACUAUAGCCUCUUUUAUGUAUAUAUUUUUAAAAUAAUAUAAAAACGGUAACCAUAAAAACAUACAGGAACAAAUUUACUGUCAAAUUUUAGAAAAACACCUUAUAAUUACUAAACAAACAACUAAAAAUAAAAGUUGGCUAAAUGAGAAUGCCUUAUUUUAAAAAGUUGGAUAAAUGAGAAGACACCGAAAAAAUGUUUCAUGUAUUUUUAGUUUAGUGUAUUGUCUGUGUUUGUCUAUUUAAUUUUAGAUCAGUAUAUGUAUUGUUUGUGUCUUGUGAAUAGUAGUUACCUGUAUGUCAAUUAUUACAUGUAUACAUUAUAGUAAGAAAUAGUUCAUUCAUAAAUCUAUGAAUGAGUAGCGUAACAUAAUUGGACAUAAUGUAGCACUUAAUCCUGACUUGGUUGAUAAUUGAGUUUGAUUGAAUUCAUAUAUUUAUAAUAUAUACACUUAAAUCGUAUUGGUUGUAUUCUUACAGAAAAGAGUUAGUUUAUCGUAUUUUAUACAUGUACUUUCCGUUUUAUGAUUUAGAGUUGUAUCCCUUUGUACACUGUACUGUCUAUGUAUUUACGUUUUGUUAUUUGUGUACUUUCAGGGUUAAUUUAUUUAUGUCGUAUGAAUAAAACAUCUUAAACUUGACGAUUCAUUUCAUUCUGUCCAAGAACCCUAUUACAUUCAUAUCAUUAGAGUCUUUUAUUCUGUAAGAAAGUAAUUCAACUAAUAAAACAAACAAUA
rnacentral:lncRNA from 1 species